rnacentral:rRNA from 1 species
GAUGAACGCUGGCGGCGUGCCUAAUACAUGCAAGUCGAGCGAACAGACGAGGAGCUUGCUCCUCUGACGUUAGCGGCGGACGGGUGAGUAACACGUGGAUAACCUACCUAUAAGACUGGGAUAACUUCGGGAAACCGGAGCUAAUACCGGAUAAUAUAUUGAACCGCAUGGUUCAAUAGUGAAAGACGGUUUUGCUGUCACUUAUAGAUGGAUCCGCGCCGCAUUAGCUAGUUGGGAAGGUAACGGCUUACCAAGGCAACGAUGCGUAGCCGACCUGAGAGGGUGAUCGGCCACACUGGAACUGGAACACGGUCCAGACUCCUACGGGAGGCAGCAGUAGGGAAUCUUCCGCAAUGGGCGAAAGCCUGACGGAGCAAGGCCGCGUGAGUGAUGAAGGUCUUCGGAUCGUAAAACUCUGUUAUGAGGGAAGAACAAAUGUGUAAGUAACUAUGCACGUCUUGACGGUACCUAAUCAGAAAGCCACGGCUAACUACGUG